GCCGAAGUUCGGGAAAGAGACUUCAGAUACAGUAUUAGGGGACCAGUAAGGCCUAUAUAAAAGCAUCAAAAAAGUAGCAUGUUAUAGGACCUU